UACCUUGAUAAGAAUACGAUACAUGCUCAAUUUUAAAAACAAAAAACAAAAAAAAGCAAUCAAGAGAUGCAAAAUUAAGCAAAGACAAACAAAUAAUUAAUUUGCGGCAAAUGUGUGCAGAGAUUUGAGACUAAAACUUCUAACACAAAGAAAUUAACAAUGUGGGCAGCACUACACAUCAAUCCCGUUCUUAGAGACAGGAAUACCUUGUAGAUGAUAUUACGAAGUGUUCCCCUUCUUUUUCCUCUUCGUAAAAAAGAGAUCUGCAACAAAGGUGGAGGAAUUCAUUGCUUUCUAUUUUGUGGAAGAAGAUGGAAGAGAUGAACAAAAGAUUAAGUUGGAAGGGUUCCAACUGCAACGUGCGUCCUAAACGUAAUGGGGGUGAAGAUUUCUCCUAAACGUAUGAGCGAUAAAUUUU
rnacentral:lncRNA from 1 species